AGAGGGCCCCUCCUGCCCGCCACGUUUCCUUCCUGCUGGGGGGCUUCUGUUCUCCCAGACCGGGUCGGUGCUCUUUUCCCCCGGCGCCCCUCCCCCACCCAGCCCGGGCCUUGCCUGCCGCAGCCACCUUCUUCUCUGAUGCUGUGUCCUGGACUUGGUGACAAUGGCAAAUUGACAAGAAGGCGAGCCUGGGCCUUUCCUGCGGCGACAUCCAGCUUCCCCCGCCCCUCCCUGGGUGGGUGCCCACCACACGCCCAGCCUGCCGCGUGCUUAUCCAGGCCCUCCAGGCCAGGCCUCCGGGUCUUAUGGAAGAAGGCCCCGUGUCUGGGCAGUGCCGUGGCUGUGAGUGAGCAUCCGGGGCCAGUCAGAUGUGCCGUCUCCGGAGGUCACUUCCAUAGUGGCCAUCAACAGCUUGGCCAAACUCGGCCGCAGGAUCUUUUCCUAUCAAUUGCAGGAUGGACUCUUCCCGCAGCCAUGCGACCUGUGGCCCGCGGUCCUGCUCCCUGAGCUGGAGGAGGCUGAACAGAAUGAGCAGGAAGUAUUUUUUGAUGCUCUUGCAUCUGGGGCUGACCCAACACUGCUCAUCCCAUGUGGUCAUUGCUGGCUUACAGUUUUUCUUCCCAGGGUCUCCCCAAGAGCUGCUUCCUUUGACUCCUGCUGUGUGUAGUUCUGCUGACAAUGACCUGGACAGCUCUGCGCCAUGCACAGCGUCUCUUUUCUCCGACUUACCAAAUUUUAGACACUACUGACUCCUCCAUGUGAAAGAUGGGAAUUCAGCUACAUCACAUUACCCUACAAACUUUAUUGUUAAUAUUUCUUCCCGGUCAGCCCCAAACACUGAAUGUAAAUACGGUCCAACAUCAACCUGCAAACGAACACUGACAUGAAAGUGCAGUUGGAAAGGAUCUCGCAAAGGAACAGAAUCUGGUGAUCCUAAUCGUAAUGAACGUGAUCGCCGGGUAUUGAGAGCUUGCAGGUACCAGGGCUCCGGCACUACGUGUUUCACAGGGGCCACUCGGUAGACCUCUUGGUGACCUUGAGGUCAGGUACCACGUUCCCAUUUUACAGAGGAGGAAACUGAGAUAACCUACGACAGCGAAAAGGUAGCAGAGCUGGGACUGGUGCCCAGGCUCGCCGAGUGGAAAAGCCCUCGGCCACCGUGGAGAGCUCGCUUCCUGUGGUCUGAAGCGUCGCCCCUGCACCGGCUUCUGCUGCCAAGGAUGGCUUUUCCUCACUGGUGCCCACCUACGCUCACUUGUGUCAUGUGGUUAAGCCCUUUUGGCAACAUAAGACCUUUCCCAAGAAUGUGCCUCGGUGCAGAGGAAGACGGUGGGGGCAGGCCCCCUCCCCGGGAUGCUCCACCCUCCCUGACCUCACACGGGUGCAACCUGGGCCGUGGCCGAGACCUGCUGUGUGGCAGACAAUGGGAAGCCUGUGUGUCGUCCUGGGUGCCGGAUUUAGACAAUAUUUAGCUUUCCCUUGGUGGAAAAGCCUUUCCCCUCCUGCUUUGGGCAGGAACUGGUUCCUGUUGGGCGGGGCCUGGCUGCUGCCCCACCCCCACCCGGCCGGGCACCUUGACCGGCAGCUCUCCGGGCUGCUCCCUGCCUGUGUCCCUGAGCACUGACUCCAGAGGUUUAAUCAUUAACGGGCACGUUUGGCCUUCGGUCGUGGGCUGGAAUUUGGGACCUGUGCCCGGGAACAAUGAUCUCCGACACAUUAUUUUGUGUAAAAUCACUUUUAGCUGCCAUUAGCUAAUAAAGCUGGAAUAAAGUGAGGUCCAUUAACCAGCA
rnacentral:lncRNA from 1 species